AACGAACGCUGGCGGCAUGCCUAACACAUGCAAGUCGAACGAGACCUUCGGGUCUAGUGGCGCACGGGUGCGUAACGCGUGGGAACCUGCCCUUAGGUUCGGAAUAACUCCCCGAAAGGGGUGCUAAUACCGGAUAAUGUCUUCGGACCAAAGAUUUAUCGCCUUUGGAUGGGCCCGCGUUGGAUUAGCUAGUUGGUAGGGUAAAAGCCUACCAAGGCGACGAUCCAUAGCUGGUCUGAGAGGAUGAUCAGCCACACUGGGACUGAGACACGGCCCAGACUCCUACGGGAGGUAGCAGUGGGGAAUAUUGGACAAUGGGCGAAAGCCUGAUCCAGCAAUGCCGCGUGAGUGAUGAAGGCCUUAGGGUUGUAAAGCUCUUUUACCCGGGAUGAUAAUGACAGUACCGGGAGAAUAAGCUCCGGCUAACUCCGU
rnacentral:rRNA from 1 species